AUUGAACGCUGGCGGCAUGCCUUACACAUGCAAGUCGAACGAGCAGAUCCUUUCGGGGUGAAGCUAGCGGCGGACGGGUGAGUAACACGUGGGCAACCUGCCUCAUAGAGGGGAAUAGCCUCCCGAAAGGGAGAUUAAUACCGCAUAAGAUUGCAUCUUCGCAUGAAGAAGCAAUUAAAGGAGUAAUCCGCUAUGAGAUGGGCCCGCGGCGCAUUAGCUAGUUGGUGAGGUAACGGCUCACCAAGGCGACGAUGCGUAGCCGACCUGAGAGGGUGAUCGGCCACAUUGGGACUGAGACACGGCCCAGACUCCUACGGGAGGCAGCAGUGGGGAAUAUUGCACAAUGGGGGAAACCCUGAUGCAGCAAUGCCGCGUGAGUGAUGACGGCCUUCGGGUUGUAAAGCUCUGUCUUCGGGGACGAUAAUGACGGUACCCGAGGAGGAAGCCACGGCUAACUACGUGCCAGCCGCCGCGGUAA
rnacentral:rRNA from 1 species